rnacentral:rRNA from 1 species
UACAGAGGUCUCAAGCGUUGUUCGGAUUCAUUGGGCGUAAAGGGUGUGUAGGUGGCGCGCUAAGUCGGGUGUGAAAUUUCGGAGCUUAACUCCGAAACUGCAUUCGAUACUGGCGUGCUUGAGGACUGGAGAGGAGACUGGAAUUCAUGGUGUAGCAGUGAAAUGCGUAGAGAUCAUGAGGAAGACCAGUGGCGAAGGCGGGUCUCUGGACAGUUCCUGACGCUGAGACACGAAGGCAGGGGAGCAAACGGG